rnacentral:misc_RNA from 1 species
UAGAGGAAGUAAAAGUCGUAACAAGGUUUCCGUAGGUGAACCUGCGGAAGGAUCAUUACCGAGAGACGGGGCCUAACCGGCCCCAACUCUUCACCCGUGUCUACUCAAUAUAUGUUGCUUUGGCGGGCCAGCCGGGGCUCUCCGGGGGAGGUUUAUCCCUUCUCGCGCCCGCCAAAGGCCCUAGCAAACCCUGUGAUCAGUGUCGUCCGAGUAAAAACAAUCGUUAAAACUUUCAACAACGGAUCUCUUGGUUCCGGCGUCGAUGAAGAACGCAGCGAAAUGCGAAAAGUAAUGUGAAUUGCAGAAUUCCGUGAAUCAUCGAAUCUUUGAACGCACAUUGCGCCCUUUGGUAUUCCGAAGGGCAUGCCUGUUCGAGCGUCAUUGCACCCCUCAAGCACUGCUUGGUAUUGGGCCUCGCCCCCGCGGCGGGCCCGGAUCCCAGUGGCGGUCCAGCGAGACUUCAAGCGUAGCAAGAUUACCACAUCCCGCUUAGCAAGUC